AUUGAACGCUGGCGGCAUGCUUUACACAUGCAAGUCGAACGGUAACAGGCCGCAAGGUGCUGACGAGUGGCGAACGGGUGAGUAAUGCAUCGGAACGUGCCCAGUCGUGGGGGAUAACGCAGCGAAAGCUGCGCUAAUACCGCAUACGAUCUAUGGAUGAAAGCGGGGGACCGUAAGGCCUCGCGCGAUUGGAGCGGCCGAUGUCAGAUUAGGUAGUUGGUGGGGUAAAGGCUCACCAAGCCAACGAUCUGUAGCUGGUCUGAGAGGACGACCAGCCACACUGGGACUGAGACACGGCCCAGACUCCUACGGGAGGCAGCAGUGGGGAAUUUUGGACAAUGGGCGCAAGCCUGAUCCAGCAAUGCCGCGUGCAGGAAGAAGGCCUUCGGGUUGUAAACUGCUUUUGUACGGAACGAAAAGGCUCUGGUUAAUACCUGGGGCUCAUGACGGUACCGUAAGAAUAAGCACCGGCUAACUACGUGCCAGCCGCCGCAGUAAAAC
rnacentral:rRNA from 1 species